UGGGCGGCGCGCGGGGAACUUUCGCGCCGGCUGCGAGUGCGGGGCCCCGGCUGCGGUCCGGCUGCCAUGGAUCCGCCGGCGGGAGCCGCUCGCCGCCUGCUCUGCCCCGCGCUGCUGCUGCUGCUACUGCUGCCGCUCCUGCUACCGCCGCUGCCCGCGGACGCCCGGCUCGCCGCCGCCGCCGACCCCCCAGGCUGGCCCCAGGGGCACGGCGCGGAGCGCAUCCUGGCGGUGCCGGUGCGCACUGACGCUCAGGGCCUCUUGGUGUCCCACGUGGUGUCGGCGGCGACGGCGCAGGCUGGGGUACGGGCCCGCAGGGCUGCCCCUGUCCAGAUCCCGGGUUUCUCUGGAGGCAGCGAGGAGGACCCUGGCGGCCGCCUCUUCUACAAUGUCACGGUCUUCGGCCGAGACCUGCACCUGCGGCUGCGGCCCAAUGCCCGCCUCGUGGCGCCCGGGGCCACGGUGGAGUGGCAGGGCGAGUCGGGCGCCACCCGCGUGGAGCCCCUGCUUGGGACCUGCCUCUACGUCGGAGACGUGGCCGGCCUGGCUGAAGCCUCCUCUGUGGCGCUCAGCAACUGCGACGGGCUGGCUGGCCUGAUCCGUAUGCAGGAGGAGGAGUUCUUUAUCGAGCCCCUGGAGAAGGGUCUGGCGGCAAACGAGGCUGAGCAGGGCCGUGUGCAUGUGGUGUAUCGCCGGCCGCCCACCUCCAGACCCCCUCCUCUGGGGGGGCCACAGGCCCUGGACACAGGGACCUCCCCGAGCGGCCUGGACAGCCUCAGCCGUGCCCUGGGCAUCCUGGAGGAGCGAGUCAACAGCUCCAGGCAGAGGGUGCGCAGGCAUGCUGCGGACGACGACUACAACAUCGAGGUCCUGCUGGGGGUGGACGACUCCGUGGUCCAGUUCCACGGGAAGGAGCAUGUGCAGAAGUACCUGCUCACCCUCAUGAACAUUGUCAAUGAAAUUUAUCACGAUGAGUCCUUGGGGGCCCACAUCAAUGUCGUCCUGGUGCGGAUAAUCCUGCUGAGCUACGGGAAGUCCCUGAGCCUCAUUGAGAUUGGGAACCCCUCUCAGAGUCUGGAGAACGUUUGCCGCUGGGCCUACCUCCAGCAGAAGCCAGACUCCGGCCACGAUGAGUACCACGAUCACGCCAUAUUCCUCACACGGCAGGACUUCGGGCCUUCAGGCAUGCAAGGCUAUGCUCCUGUCACUGGGAUGUGCCACCCUGUCCGCAGCUGCACCCUGAACCACGAGGACGGCUUCUCCUCAGCGUUCGUGGUGGCCCAUGAGACUGGCCACGUGCUGGGCAUGGAGCACGAUGGGCAGGGCAACCGCUGCGGUGACGAGGUGCAGUUGGGUAGCAUCAUGGCGCCCCUGGUGCAGGCAGCCUUCCACCGCUUCCACUGGUCCCGCUGCAGCCAGCAGGAGCUGAGCCGCUACCUGCACUCCUAUGACUGCCUGCGGGAUGACCCCUUCACCCACGACUGGCCAGCGCUGCCCCAGCUCCCGGGGCUGCACUACUCCAUGAACGAACAGUGCCGCUUUGACUUCGGCCUUGGCUACAUGAUGUGUACCGCGUUCCGGACCUUUGACCCUUGCAAGCAGCUGUGGUGCAGCCACCCUGACAACCCCUACUUUUGCAAGACGAAGAAGGGGCCUCCCCUGGAUGGGACCAUGUGUGCACCUGGCAAGCACUGCUUUAAAGGACACUGCAUCUGGCUGACACCUGACAUCCUCAAGCGAGAUGGCAACUGGGGUGCCUGGAGUCCCUUCGGCUCCUGCUCGCGUACCUGCGGCACAGGUGUGAAGUUCAGGACCCGUCAGUGCGACAACCCACACCCAGCCAAUGGGGGCCGCACCUGCUCAGGCCUUGCCUACGAUUUCCAGCUCUGCAACUCCCAGGACUGCCCUGACGCCCUGGCUGACUUCCGUGAGGAGCAGUGCCGGCAGUGGGACCUAUACUUCGAGCAUGGUGACGCCCAGCACCACUGGCUGCCCCACGAGCACCGGGAUGCCAAAGAGAGAUGCCACCUCUACUGUGAGUCCAAGGAGACUGGGGAGGUGGUGUCCAUGAAGCGCAUGGUGCACGAUGGGACGCGCUGUUCUUACAAGGACGCCUUCAGCCUCUGCGUGCGUGGGGACUGCAGGAAGGUGGGCUGUGACGGGGUGAUCGGCUCCAGCAAACAGGAGGACAAGUGUGGUGUGUGUGGAGGGGACAACUCCCACUGCAAGGUGGUCAAGGGCACAUUCACACGCUCGCCCAAGAAGCUCGGUUACAUCAAGAUGUUUGAGAUCCCGGCAGGAGCCAGACACCUGCUUAUCCAGGAGGCAGACACCACCAGCCACCACCUGGCCAUCAAGAACCUGGAGACAGGCAAGUUCAUUUUAAAUGAAGAGAAUGACGUGGAUCCCAACUCCAAAUCCUUCAUUGCCAUGGGUGUGGAGUGGGAGUACCGGGAUGAGGAUGGCCGGGAGACGCUGCAGACCAUGGGCCCCCUCCACGGGACCAUCACUGUCCUGGUCAUCCCGCAGGGGGACGCCCGCAUCUCGCUGACCUACAAAUACAUGAUCCAUGAGGACUCGCUCAAUGUGGAUGACAACAAUGUCCUGGAGGACAAUUCCGUGGGCUACGAGUGGGCCCUGAAGAAGUGGUCUCCCUGCUCCAAGCCCUGCGGUGGAGGGUCCCAGUUCACCAAGUAUGGCUGCCGCCGGAGGCUGGACCACAAGAUGGUGCACCGAGGCUUCUGCGACUCCCUCUCAAAGCCCAAAGCCAUCCGCCGGGCUUGCAACGCGCAGGAGUGCUCCCAGCCCGUGUGGGUCACGGGCGAGUGGGAGGCAUGCAGUCAGAGCUGUGGGCGGACGGGCAUGCAGGUUCGCUCCGUGCGCUGCGUUCAGCCGCUGCACAACAACACCACCCGCUCCGUGCACACCAAGCACUGCAAUGACGCCCGACCCGAGGGCCGCCGGGCCUGCAACCGUGAGCUCUGCCCCGGUCGGUGGCGGGCCGGACCCUGGUCCCAGUGUUCGGUAACCUGUGGCAACGGCACCCAGGAACGGCCGGUGCUCUGCCGAACCACGGACGACAGCUUCGGGGUCUGCCGGGAGGAGCGGCCCGAGACGGCCAGGAUCUGCAGGCUUGGCCCCUGUCCCCGAAACAUCUCAGAUCCUUCCAAGAAGAGCUACGUAGUUCAAUGGCUGUCCCGACCGGACCCCAACUCACCAGUCCAGAAGACCUCGUCAAAGGGCCGCUGCCAAGGUGACAAGUCAAUGUUCUGUAGGAUGGAAGUCUUGUCUCGCUAUUGCUCCAUCCCAGGCUACAAUAAGCUGUGCUGCAAGUCCUGUAACCUGCAAGACAACCUCACCAAUGUGGACGACAGGGCAGAACCACCCUCUGGGAAGCACAAUGACAUUGAAGAGCUCAUGCCCACCCUCCCAGUGCCCACUCUAGUCAUGGAGGUGCAGCCUCCGCCAAGCACACCCCUGGAGGUGCCUCUCAAUACUUCCAGCACCGGUGCCACCGAGGACCAUCCGGAAAUCAACGCUGUGGAUGUGCCCUACAAAAUCCAUGGCCUGGAGGAUGAAGUCCAGCCACCCAACCUAAUCCCUCGACGACCGAGCCCAUACGAAAAGACCAGGAACCAAAGAAUCCAAGAGCUCAUUGAUGAGAUGAGGAAGAAAGAGAUGCUCGGAAAGUUCUAAUAAAAUAGAAAGAUAGCAUCAAUAACAUUUUUUUUUUUCUUGCUUAUAGAGAUAUUCCAUGGGAUGGCAACUCCUGUGUUGUGGAGAUGAAGUCAGAUUCCUGAUUCCAAAAGUGGAAUGGCAUGGCAGAGCAGAGGCAAAGAGGUGUACAACCGGUUCUUAAGAUAUUAAGUCAUAAAGUCCAGGGCUUCCACAGCAUGACAACAACUUUCAG